rnacentral:rRNA from 1 species
GUAAGGAAUAUUGGUCAAUGGGGGCAACCCUGAACCAGCCAUGCCGCGUGAAGGAUGAAGGCGUUAUGCGUUGUAAACUUCUUUUGUAUGGGAAGAAUGACAGGGAUUCAUCCUUGGAGAGACGGUACCAUACGAAUAAGCACCGGCUAACUUCGUGCCAGCAGCCGCGGUAAUACGAAGGGUGCAAGCGUUAAUCGGAAUUACUGGGCGUAAAGCGCGCGUAGGUGGUUUUGUAAGUUGGAGGUGAAAUCCCCGGGCUCAACCUGGGAAUUGCCUCCAAAACUGCAUGACUAGAGUACGGUAGAGGGUAGUGGAAUUUCCUGUGUAGCGGUGAAAUGCGUAGAUAUAGGAAGGAACACCAGUGGCGAAGGCGACUAGCUGGACUGAUACUGACACUGAGGUGCGAAAGCGUGGGGAGCAAACAGGAUUAGAAACCCGAGUAGUCC